rnacentral:rRNA from 1 species
UACGUAGGCAGCGAGCGUUGUUCGGAGUUACUGGGCGUAAAGCGUGCGUAGGCGGUUGUCUAAGUUUGGUGUGAAAUCUCCCGGCUUAACUGGGAGGGUGCGCCGAAAACUGGGUGACUGGAGUGUCGGAGAGGUAAGCGGAAUUCCUGGUGUAGCGGUGAAAUGCGUAGAUAUCGGGAAGAACACCAGUGGCGAAGGCGCUCUACUGGGCCACAACUGACGCUGAGGGGACGAAAGCUAGGGGGAGCGAAAGGG